UGGCUAAGGUAGCGCAAUCACUUGCCCUUUAAUUGUGGGCUAGUAUGAAUGGCUAGACAAGAGCUUGGCUGUCUCAAAGGGGCUUAUGAAAAUUAACCUUUAGGUGCAGAGGCCUAAAUUUUAGUGAAAGACAAGAAGACCCUAUCGAGCUUUAAUUUUUUCUAUUAUUAUAANUAGUAUAAAUUUUUAUUGGGGCAAUAAAGGAGCAAUUUAAGCCUCCUUAAAUCUAAAGUUAAACUAAUUUAUAAAAGAAACAUUUAUAAUGCUCUUAGGAAAAAGCUACCGUAGGGAUAACAGACUAAUUUCCCUCAAGAGUCCACAUUGACAGGGAAGUUUGGCACCUCGAUGUUGGCUUAAAAAACAGUUAUGAAGCAGCACUCUAACCC
rnacentral:rRNA from 1 species